ACAGUGAAAAGUUCAGUUCAGUUCAGUUGCUGCAAAGUCUAUGCCAUGUGAAGAAAGUCUGUUAUCAGUAAAACAAAUCACGUUAGCUGGCCUCUUCAAACAUAUUAUGUCAAUGAUUAGUAACUCAUGGUACAGCAUAGACCCUGUUAUGUAUAUGUCAUUCCUUUUAGGUUUUACUUUAUUGAUGAGUCAUUGUUUAUUGACCUAGUUUUGAGGCAACAUGUAAAUAAGUUUUCAUAUUCUAUUGUAUUCCAGAAUGUUCUACCAUAAUACUGAUAAACAGGAUGUAACAAUUAUUUUUAAAGUCUGGAUUGUUCUUGGUUUUUCUAGAAUGUUCUUUUUAUUCUAAGUGUUACAUGAAAGUUCUGGAACCUUCUAUGAUGCAUUAAAUAGAGAGCUGACUGACAACAGGGCAGAACCUUCUGUUAAAGAUAUUAUUUAAAACUUCCCUGUAUUUCUUAAUAACAAAGUAUUACAAGUUUGGAUAUUUAACAUUUGAAGGAUUUACAUUAAAAUUGUAGAUUUAAAAAGUUCUCUUUGAAGAGAGGAUUUAUUAUCUUUCGACAUACUUAGAUAUAGUUUUGAUUUGUGAAUAAUUUGGAAUUAUUACUCCUUGGACUUAAAUUUGACCAGGGCAGGAUUUGGACUAUUUUUACACGAGAUUGGAUUUUACGGCUAUUUGACAUUUUAAAGAAGAGAAACACAAUGGAAAGAACCAAAAACUAUCGCUGGCUUGCUGGAUAGCUUCUUUAUAAAUAAUUUCACAAGGCCGAUCCGGACUCAAACCGCUAACUUCCCCGACGUUGGCGAGAUUAUCUAUAUGUUGGACAGGAACUGUUAACGAAAGUUAACCACAAAGAUUUUCGACAAGUGGAUAGGGUGUGGUCUGACUUCGACAGGCACAUCAAGACUUCCACACAGGAAGUAUCAAGAUAUUUAUAAGGGAUAUCUCUGUAAAAUAGUGAUAUCUCUUUAACACAAAGAGAUGUAUUUUUACGUUAUAAAGAUAUCUCUCUAUGUUAAAGUAUGGAAGCGUCCUAGUGCCAGGUUUGAAAUAUUUUAUCUCAUAAUUAGGGGUUACUAAAUCCUAAUUACGAGAUACUAGAAUUAGGACAUAAUAACUUCUAAUUAUGAGAUAAAAAUAUUACAAUAUCAUCAUUUUUCUAACCUUUGAUCAAUUUUAUUUUUUUGUAUAAUAUCAAAGUAAAUGCACCAACUAUUCUUGUAGAUACUUAUUAUAUGUCAUUUUACGAAUGUGUAUAAUCUUCUUUUUAAGUUCGUUUAUAGAAUGUACAUAUAUGGCUUUUAGAUACAGUCACUUAUAAUUCUGUUUAGAAUUACCACAUGUUUUAAUGGUUUUAUAUAGUGUGUAUAAAUUGUAAAUGUGGAUGAGACUUUAAUAACUAUAAAUCCACCUGGCACUAAGACGCUUCCAUAUUAAAGCUC
rnacentral:lncRNA from 1 species